GAAUUGAAAGGACCUGAGAGAAUUUUCCCUUAGAUGACAAGCUCUUGGAAAGUUGGCCACUUCUAAAGUGUAGGUACUGGAAAACAUAGAAGAUCCUGCAGAUAACUUGCAACAGCUGAAAGAGCAAUCAGUGUGUGAAUCUGGAAGACAGUUGGAGGAUGGGAAUCGCGGUCUGAUUCACAACCACAUCGCUGCAGACGUGUUCCAAGUGUUGCUCUGUCAUCGGGCGAAGGUAUCCAGGGCAGGUUUGUCUAGAUGGGUGCUGCAUGCACAGCUUUGACUGCUGUUCCCCAUCAGUCUGUAAGUAGAUGGAGCAACCAGCACACGUCCAGUUUUCACUUGCACUGCCAUAACUUUGCUUGGUGCUGCUUGUGCCUAUGAAGGUAUUUGUACAGAAAUUAUAUGCUUUCCUGGGUAUUUAUGGUAAGACUUCAUUUUAAUCUCUCUUGAGCUUCAUGACACAAACCAGUAUGCUCUUGACCUGCAUGAAUUCAGGCUGCUAGCCUGCUUUGUUUUUCUUCCUCAGGAUCUGGCAGUAUUCACCCAGUUCAACAAUAGGGAAUGGCAGUCGGACUGUUUUUAGUUCUUCAGCUAAGACCAUGUUGUGCAAGAUGCGAGUGUUGUACAGAGAUGUCGUCCAGCACGAUAUUUAUACUUUGGAAAUAAGUGCUUUCACUAGCUGUUGAGAAUCAUGUCUGACAACGGAGAACUGGAAGACAAGCCACCAGCUCCUCCCGUCCGGAUGAGCAGUGCUAUCUUCAGUGCAGGGGGCAAAGACCAGUUGUCUGCCAACCACAGCUUGAAACCCUUGCCCUCCGUACCAGAAGAGAGAAAACCUAGGAAUAAAAUCAUCUCCAUAUUCUCUAGCACUGAAAAAGGAAGCAAGAAGAAGGAAAAGGAACGGCCAGAGAUCUCCCCACCAUCUGAUUUUGAGCAUACCAUCCACGUUGGCUUCGAUGCUGUUACUGGAGAGUUCACUGGAAUGCCAGAACAAUGGGCUCGAUUGCUUCAGACCUCAAAUAUCACGAAGCUAGAACAGAAGAAAAACCCCCAGGCGGUACUAGAUGUGCUGAAAUUCUAUGACUCCAAAGACACAGCAAAACAGAAGUAUCUGAGUUUUUCUGCUCCAGAAAAAGAUGGUUUCCCUUCAGGAACACCAACGACCAAUGCCAAAGGUUCAGAACCAUCAACAGCUGUGGCAGAUGAUGAUGAGGAUGAUGAAGAAGCUCCUCCUCCUGUUAUUGCUCCACGGCCAGAUCACACAAAAUCGAUUUAUACACGGUCUGUAAUCGACCCCAUUCCUGCACCAGCCAGUGACACUUCUGUUGACAGCGCAGCAAAAUCAGGUGAUAAGCAGAAAAAGAAGACCAAAAUGUCGGAUGAAGAGAUCAUGGAAAAACUACGCACUAUUGUGAGCAUAGGAGAUCCCAAGAAAAAAUAUACCAGAUACGAAAAAAUCGGGCAAGGGGCUUCAGGUACAGUUUUCACAGCUAUUGAUGUGGCAACGGGGCAGGAGGUUGCUAUCAAACAGAUAAACCUGCAGAAACAGCCCAAGAAGGAGUUGAUUAUUAAUGAGAUCUUGGUAAUGAAGGAGCUGAAGAACCCCAACAUAGUCAACUUCCUGGACAGUUACCUUGUAGGAGAUGAAUUGUUCGUGGUGAUGGAGUAUCUAGCUGGAGGCUCACUAACGGAUGUGGUCACAGAAACAUGUAUGGAUGAAGCACAGAUUGCUGCUGUUUGCAGGGAGUGCUUGCAAGCGCUUGAGUUCCUUCACGCCAACCAGGUCAUCCACAGAGACAUUAAGAGUGACAAUGUGCUGUUAGGAAUGGAUGGAUCAGUUAAACUAACCGACUUUGGUUUCUGUGCUCAGAUCACUCCAGAGCAGAGUAAGCGCAGCACUAUGGUUGGAACUCCUUACUGGAUGGCUCCUGAAGUGGUCACACGGAAAGCCUAUGGCCCCAAAGUGGAUAUCUGGUCUCUGGGCAUCAUGGCUAUUGAGAUGGUGGAAGGAGAACCCCCGUACCUCAACGAAAACCCCCUGAGGGCUUUAUAUUUGAUAGCAACUAACGGCACACCAGAGCUGCAGAACCCCGAGAAACUGUCCCCAAUAUUCCGGGAUUUCUUGAACCGGUGUUUGGAGAUGGAUGUAGAGAAGAGAGGAUCAGCCAAAGAAUUGCUACAGCAUCCCUUCUUGAAACUGGCCAAACCUCUUUCUAGCUUGACGCCACUGAUCUUGGCAGCCAAAGAAGCAAUGAAGAGUAACCGCUAACAUUACUGCCACAGCCUUCAUCUUUUUUUUUGUUUGUUUGUAUUUUACAAAUCUUUAUAAUAUAUGAAAUUGUUACACUUCUGGGGGGAGGGAAGGGAUUUUGGGGGGGGGGGGAAACAUCUGCAAAAGGGAAGAAACUCUCAUCCAGAAGACACCCAAAAUAAAUUGUGGUGAUUCUAUGGAUCCCUGUCUGGGGUCUGGAAGGAAUUGAGGACUGAAUUACUGGCCUUUUUUUUUUUUUUUUUUGGUUCCCCAGACAGCCCAGAAAUGCCACUUACUGUGCUUGGGGUUUUAAGGGUUUUUAAUGACUUCGCUGUAACAGCUCCCAUUCAUUGUACCCUUCUGGGUACUUUCAAUACUUGAAUGACAGAUUCAAGCUUUCAGAGAGCAGUACUAAUUUUACCUGCUGAUAUCUUUCACUCUCCUCUUCCUCUCCUCUAUCUGUUGACUUUUAGAUGGCUCUAGUAAGCUCCUGUAUGACUAGAUUCACGGCAAGUGUGACACAUGUGAAGGUACAUCUUGCCCCUCACUUCUCUUCUGGAUCAGCUGUUACUGUACUGUAGAAUUGACCAACUUGGCUACUUACAAAAUCUUAAUGUAUCGAGAUGUGUUUUGCUUUUUAAGAUGAAUAUGGAGCGAGGGGGAAGAAGAAGUAUUCGGCUCUUUCAUACGCCUGUGCUCUGUGGACUUUUAAUCAAAGAUGCGGCCCCUUUGUUGAAACUUAAUGAUUGGUCAAGUCUUUGGGCAUCCAUUUAUGGAUAUGUAGGUAGGGGUCAGAUACUUUAUUUAUGAUCAAAUGAUCAGCUAUAGUCAGGGCAAGAAAAAAAACUAGCUGUCUUCCUAUCUGCUCUUUUUUUUCCUGUUAGACUUGCUGGCCAGAAGCUUAAGGGAUAACGUGCUUGGUGCAGUGGGUGGUUCAAAAACACGUAUUAUAUCUGUGCUCUGACUUGGGCUUUGGAAGUUAUGCUGGUGCCUUUGACUUUUUUAUUUUACGUUUCCCUUCUUUGUAUCAAAUACAUUUUUGUAUAUGUUGUAAUUUUUUUUUUCCCAUAGCAAAUAAUGCCUCAACCUAUGGAGUUGUCAGAAUUUAAGUAUUAGAGCUAUUUUUUCCUAUUUUGUAUGUGCUCCAUUUGUACUAAUGAAAUCAGAAGAACAAAUAAUCAGAUCUGAGGACACUGAAGAUAGAGGAUUUUUUAAAUAUGAUUCAAACAGAAGAUGAUGAACACCUGGAAAUGCCAAAGCGCUGUUCUGAGAUGGCAAAGGCGGAGAGGGGAGAACAGUGCCAUCAGACGUUCAUGGGGCUUCUUUGACCAACUGGUUCCAGGCUGAGGAGAUGCGAUGUGUCGCACCGAUCCUUUUGCGCUCUUAAAGACAUUGGACCAGCUAGAAUGGCUGAAGUCAAACAUUCAAUGCAAGAAAAAGUGCGUCCCUCUGAAGGACAGUGAGCAACUUGAGCGGUUAUGUUCUUGGGAUGUUACCGGGGGCAAGUGUAGAGGAGCCCGUGCCUUGGCUUCUUCUAGUGCUACAGUCUAUGCAUUUCAACUUCCCCGACAGUUUAACGAAGAGCCAACUGUAGUUGCGAUGUGCCAAACGGUUCUGUGAAAGAACAACCAUUACUUUAGUGGAAUUUGGUUGUAUUCCCAGUGGGGCGGGACCUGGGACGGAUAGGGUGAUGGUUGGAGGACCCUGAAUAAAAAUGUUUUGCACACUUUUACAAGCAUUGCUGGCAGAAGAUAGAAGUCAUUUUCAGAUAAUUUCGGUAUUUGUAUAGUGGUAGAGGUAUCUAUGUUUUGGGGACUGGUAGCCGAGGUAUGACAAAACCAACUUCCAGCUGAGAGCGGCAGGCCAGAAGAGCAGAGGCUGUUUGUGGGGACGAUGGAGGGGAAGCAGGGCCAGGGUCUCGCAGCCUCUGCUGCGACUCACUAGCUUCUAGGAAAUGGCAUGGUACCACCAAGAUGCAGCUCUGUGCAGGGUGCUGUGGUUACGGCUGUUCAGCUUCCAUUCCGCUCCGGCAUGGUAGUAAAAAUCUAUGUCUGGUAAAUGAUGUUAACUGCUCCAUCAGAGGAAUAAAUCCCUCUAACUGUAAGUGUAAGAAUAGUUACGGUUUUAAAUUCGAGGCAGUGUCUCAUUCCAGGUGAGUAAAUCGAGAUGCGUUUCACAGGCAAAAUGUAUUCCGAGCCGUGGACACCGUAAGCCCUGUGAUGGCAAUGCCCCCGGCUCGCGUCCGUCUGGCUCCCCAGUCGAAUGAAGCAGCAAGGAGGCAUGGCUGAGGAAAAAACCCCAGCCUGUCGUACUGAUGAUUCCCUCUUUGUCCAUUGCUGGCAAUGGACUUGGUGAAACUCCUUGUGCCAGAGUUAAACUGGGAGCUUUUCUUUCUUCUUUCUUUUUUUUUUAUCGCUUUUUUUUUUUUCAUUUCUGGAUGGCACAAUCUAGACAAUAAGAUAACUUGCAAUAAAUAUAGGUUUUUUUUAAAAUAGAAAACCCAUGAAAUCAUAAGUAAUUUUAACUUAUUACUUCACUUUUAUUGAUGAACAAAAAUGGUUUAAAACAUAUAUUAGAAAAUCUGUCCAAUUUAGUCUACUUAGGAGAUGAUUUCCAAACUUUUCAGCCGUCUUAGCUUACAAAACUUGGCCCAGUCCAGAGGUUACCAAAACGUGUCUCGGCGCUUGCUACGUGGCCCAGAAUGCUGUUUAGCUCUGACGUCGAGAAGUGUCUGCAUCUCCCCUUCCCCAUGCAGCAGUUUUACGUGGUGAGGAUUCUCACCCCCUGCUGCCAGAAAUCGGGGCCAGAGAUGGAGGCUGGCAGGAGAAGAGAGCCAGGAGGAGGUUGCCAUACCAUGCUUUUGUAUUUUAGGGGCUUUUCUAACGGUGUCAGCAAGAUUAAAAAAUGCAAGCCAUGUUUUUUUCCCCCUGAAGGGAGCAGGUUAGUGUCUUUCGGACUUGCUGCAGGGCUGUUCUGCACUGCUGUGUCACUAGGGCAGACGGAGACAAGCCAGAGUUUGAGUAGACGAUGAUAAGGAAGGGAUUGUGUCUGAAAGUGCUGGGAUUUGCUCUCUCUUGGGUGCCAGUGUAAGAUCCCGAGUCAGAUUCUAACCAAAUACUCACGGGGAUACAUACGAUGGCGUGGUUAAUUGGGUCUGUGGAGCCAGGCACCUUAGGGCUUGAGUUGUGAGCUUGUAGGGAAUGUGCGACUCCUGGGAUUUUUCUUGUUAUCAUAGAAUAAACCAGACUUUCCAUUGAAAGCAACUGCGGUGCUGGGAAUGUGCGCUUUGACCUGCCUUAGGUGUUAACGAGACUAAUUGUAGGCUUCCCGCUCCCCCCCUCCGCCCCCUGGCUCUCUGGUGCAGGGAGGUGCAAAAGGUUUGGCUAGAGGAGGCGGGAGAGGCUGGGUGCCUUUGCCAGAGGGGAUGGUGGGUGGGCCGGGGUGGGGGCAAGAAGGUCAUUAAGGGUCUCUCCAGCUGGAGUUGGAUAGAUAAACGUCUCUGGUCCGUUUUUCCCCCUCUGGUCCUCAUGCUGUCAAUGGAAAUGGAAGUAGGUGCAAGCUUGCUUUUUUAUUUUUUUAACUGUCUUCAGAUUUUAAUGUUGCCUUUUUGUGUAAUUUAAUCCCAUCAUGUUAUUUAAUUGUUACUGCAAUAUUAACUACUGUAUUUGUUGACUUUGUUUAAUAACUGUUCUUUCAGGGCUAGAAAUAAACUUUUAAAAAACAUUUGGAUUUUUUUCCCCCCCUUCCCCGCCACAAGUUUAUACCUUUUAAGAGUAGCUGAACAGAGUACACGUUCAGAUGUCUUAAUGAGAUUAACAGAAUGUAUUUGUAAUUAAGCUUCUUAUGAAUGCUUUAAUUAUGAUGGAUAUCAUUUUAUGCUAUACUAGCCUGUCCUGUUUCUUCUAAAAUGUUAUUACUCAUCAGCAUCUGUACCAACCUCGUGAUAACGGCAAGCUUUCCUCGCCACCGCGUGCCACUGGCAGAUGCUUGUGCGGUCCCGCAAAGUGCUCCAGAUCACUGACCGGAGGAGAGAGCUCUGAAAUGCCCUUCUCACCCACCGUGGAAGAGAAAUCCCUUGCCCCUGCAAAGGGAGCAAAGCAAAGACCAGCCUAGUCCUUCACAGUUAUUUCUUCCACCUUUGCUGUAAGGUCGCCUUUUGGUAGUGACUGGGGUGGGACUGAUGGGCCAGUAAACCAUGAUCAUGGCAAUAUGACAAUGUUCCAGUAAUGAUUCCAAACAAGACUGCUUUAUUUUGCACCGUCAAUAGUGUCUGGAAUCCUGUAUAUAAAUGUUACGGCAUGGGAGAUGCGGGGAAUGAGCUGUCCUGCUGCCCACUUGGAAGACGCCGCUCCUGGUUCUGCGCCAUCCCCCCUGAUCGGCGUUGGUCCGACAGAGCCGAACAGGGCAAGGACGCUGGGUGUCACAGCUCGCCUGGGACUUGGGGUGAGAGCGAUGGUGCCCAUUGGUAGGCUGCAGAGACUUGUGUUUUUCAUCAAAACUGCAAAAACUGCUGCGGUGUGUUGACGCGGCAGCCUAGCUGAAGAAAAGGACAUCUAUAAACAAAUUUACUUUGGGGUUGAGACCGGUUCAGUGGAAAUCUGGAUGAAGUUUCUGUCUCGGUUGUGAAUGUCAAGGACUCGUUGUGUUGUGUGUUUCCCAUGUGUUAUUGGGAAAGCAUCUCUGCCCCUUUCUUGCAUGUUGUACAAGCUUUGCUCAUACCACUGACAAAGGGAAAUGAAGAAACCACUCGUCUUCGGAAGCCUUUUCAACCAGACGUGAGAAUGUUGUUUUGCACAAAGCACUGUCUCUUCAGGACACUAAAAGGCCACCAGACUUCUGCUUUGGAGAAGAUGUGUUGAGUUGGUAGAGAGGAGGAUGAGACUGGGAUAGCAGAGAGCGUUUCAAUGCAUGCGCUCCAGUUUCUGGUGUCUUCUGAAGGUUUUGUGAAUAUGGGAUCUGGUUCACUAUGACCACGGGUCAACAGAGAUGAUGCUGGUGCAACUCAAGACGUCUCCACAGGGAUGUUCUGGAUGGGGAAUGGGGCUGAUCUUCCCAAGGACAGAUGUCCCCCUUGAAUUCAAGGUUUCCAGUGCCGAGGAUGAUCCAUCUUUGUUUUUUCCUCCCAGCAAAUGCUUGUUCUAAGGAUUCGGGUCUUUUCUUGUGAAGCCCAAUUAACUCAUGCCUCUCCUUGAGCCCUUUUGGUCUGGCUGCUGGUGGGAGCAAAGCUGCUGCCGGGUUUCUGCUGCCUUGUUGUAGCAGCUGACAACGGGGCUGCUCUUGGAAAGCUCUCACCCACUCCCCUGCCCAGUAAAACUCUUAUUAAAUAACCUUACGACCGUGUUCAGCUUUAGCUGUUGCCUGUUUGGGCGAAA